GAUGAACGCUGGCGGCGUGCCUAAUACAUGCAAGUCAAGCGAACAGACGAGGAGCUUGCUCCUCUGACGUUAGCGGCGGACGGGUGAGUAACACGUGGAUAACCUACCUAUAAGACUGGGAUAACUUCGGGAAACCGGAGCUAAUACCGGAUAAUAUAUUGAACCGCAUGGUUCAAUAGUGAAAGACGGUUUUGCUGUUACUUAUAGAUGGAUCCGCGCCGCAUUAGCUAGUUGGUAAGGUAACGGCUUACCAAGGCAACGAUGCGUAGCCGACCUGAGAGGGUGAUCGGCCACACUGGAACUGAGACACGGUCCAGACUCCUACGGGAGGCAGCAGUAGGGAAUCUUCCGCAAUGGGCGAAAGCUUGACGGAGCAACGCCGCGUGAGUGAUGAAGGUCUUCGGAUCGUAAAACUCUGUUAUUAGGGAAGAACAAAUGUGUAAGUAACUAUGCACGUCUUGACGGUACCUAAUCAGAAAGCCACGGCUAACUACGUG
rnacentral:rRNA from 1 species